CUUCCUCCCAGACCAUUUGUACAUCACGGCGUCAACAAUGCAGAACUCCGCCUGGUGCGUGCCGUCCUAUUACGAAGAGCAGUGCUUGGAGCAGACAUGAGACCAGCACCCUUCGGGACGUCGGUUGAAAUCCCCCGCCAAUCACAAAAUAUGGCCAAGAAAGACCUUCUACUGCAUCACGGAGAAAAGGCCAGGAUAACGAUUCAAGUACAGACACCAGAGAAGUGCCUACCCAUCCCCGCCAUCGAAAAAAUAAAAUGAAUAUCAUUAUGCAUUUGAACUUAAAACAGCAUUAAUAGUCACACGACAAACACAAUGCUUGUUCUGACUGCUGCAGCUAUUCUACUACAAGACAGUGAACAUUUUGUGAUUAUUUCAGUGCAAAUGAUUCCUUCACUUCAAGAACUAGCCUCGCUUAUCAAGUGGAAAAACGUGUUAUCCAUCAUUUGGAACUCCUCGGCCAUUUCUUAUUGAAAACAACCUCGCAUGUUUGCCAGUUCAUGAGAAGAAUUAGUUCGUAAAAUUUUAGGUAAUAUUAUUUAUUAAAUGUAGUGUUUUGGCGUGUUUUUAUAUCUCACUUUAAUUUAAUUGCCAGUGAAGUGUAUGAUUGCACACACAAUUAAGAUUUCCUAGAGUAAAGUGUUUAAGUUUAACUAAAAGAAAUUACUACGCGAUCUACAUGCAGCGUAGUUAAAGUGUACCUAUUUCUGACAUUGUAAACCGGCCAUAUACGUCCGAGGUUGUUUUCGAUGGAAAAUGGCCGAGGAGUUUCGAAUGAUUAUCCAUACAUACAUGCGUGAUUGUUAAUACAU